rnacentral:rRNA from 1 species
GAUGAACGCUAGCUACAGGCUUAACACAUGCAAGUCGAGGGGAAACGACAUCGAAAGCUUGCUUUUGAUGGGCGUCGACCGGCGCACGGGUGAGUAACGCGUAUCCAGCCUGCCCACCACUUGGGGAUAACCUUGCGAAAGUAAGACUAAUACCCAAUGAUAUCUCUAGAAGACAUCUGAAAGAGAUUAAAGAUUUAUCGGUGAUGGAUGGGGAUGCGUCUGAUUAGCUUGUUGGCGGGGUAACGGCCCACCAAGGCAACGAUCAGUAGGGGUUCUGAGAGGAAGGUCCCCCACAUUGGAACUGAGACACGGUCCAAACUGCUACGGGAGACAGCAGUGAGGAAUAUUGGUCAAUGGACGAGAGUCUGAACCAGCCAAGUAGCGUGCAGGAAGACGGCCCUAUGGGUUGUAAACUGCUUUUAUAAGGGAAUAAAGUGAGUCUCGUGAGACUUUUUGCAUGUACCUUAUGAAUAAGGACCGGCUAAUUCCGUG